rnacentral:lncRNA from 1 species
CAGGGACAGCUUAGGAACUUUCCCUUUACCCGGCACCCACUCCAGCAGUUGUGGAUCAUAAAAGUGAUAUUGAUAACCCCUCCCUCUGACUGGUGUGGGUUGAUACCUCCUUGCCAUUUCAGUCCCUUGUCUCUUUCAUGAAUGAUGUAGACUAGGCUCUGCGGGGGUGGGGGAGGGGUCUUUCUUUCCAGUUUGAUUUUAAAUGGUGUGUGGGAUGUUUCCCUCUUGAAAUUGGCCUCUGAAAACUCGUUUGUAUUUCAGUUUUUGCAGAACCUUUCCCAGCCUAUUUCCUGAGUGCUGGUGUCAUUGACAGCCCCAGGCCGUCUGAGUAUUCCUUGCCCUGCAGCAGAGGUUUCACUGUUGCUGUUAUGAGAUGUGUCCACAAGGCGGCAGCACUUCCGCAUUCCCCACUCUCUCUAAUGGGGCCAAAGGAGCCUUAGUGAAACUUGCCUGCCUGAGUUGCAAUUUAGAAUGCUAUUGGCCAGAAAAAGCCUAAGGGCUUCUGUUGUCUGACUUCAUCCCC